GUGUUCAUGCUGUCCGUGUAUGCUCCUCGCAUUUCACCGAUAAUGUGUACCUGGAUGAGAACAUCAUGGAAGUGCAACUUGGAUUGACACAAAAAAGGAACGAAUUGAAACUUGACGCCGUUCCGACAGUGUUCCACGAACAAAGCGAGCCAGCAACUUCGACACUGCAGGCAGUUCGACAGGGUCAAGCGCAAGUGAAGGACCAGGUGCUGCUGAUCAAGUCCCAUCCAUCCAUAAAACG